GUGUGAUCAAAAUUUUAAACGUCCAACACUCUAACCAGAAACUAAAUAGUAAAUACCUACGUUUAAUUAUUUUGGUCUUAMRUAGUAACGCGAAAUAUUGACAACAGUAUCAAGCAAAAUGUAUAAUGAUCUUUAUAGAUCUUGGAUAUGAGCCACGAGACGCAGACAUUUCUUAUCGGCCAAAACUUACAAAUUAUUUUAACACAGACUACUGGCAUACACACCUCUAACAUCUGUCUACCAUCGCUGUAAGACAAAACAUUAUUUAGAAACACUUCUCGAUCACAAAAGCUAUUUAAUUUGCAUCGUAUCGACGCAUUUUGAACAAAACAGAAAACAAUCUGUAAUUAUUUUCAACAACAUUACUUCGUUUUCAGAAUUUGUUUUUGUGCAAUUAUAUUGAUUUUUCUUCAUUUCCCCAAAGGAAGUAUCAGUAUCUGAUGGGUAUUGCUCUAUGGACAAUGGUUUAAAUGCCUAUUUAUUUAUUUUCCUGAUUAUAAUUUUAUAUAAUGAUUUAAUUACCAAAACAUUUGAUUCGAUUCAAAUACCUCCAUGGCACUACUUAUCUGUUAGAAUAAUGCCCAACACUUAUUGCAUCAAACUGAAAUUGUAGUGUCUUGUUGAUAUUACAAUUAUUCAUAUUUCUUAAUUUGCUUGUGUGCGUUUCAAAUUCUUUGAUCAGUUCAUAAAAGAAUCAUUUCUCGUCAUGUCAGCAACUGAAAUAGAAUGUGAAAUCCAUUUCAUGAACACUUAUAGUAUAAUGAAAUGGGACGAAUUAAUAGUGGUAAAUCAUGAUCGUUAAUCGAUUAAACAGAAGAUUGCUCUUGGGUUGGCCACCAAAGAAGAAUUKUUGAAACAAAUAAAAGUUGAAUUAAAUAUGUUGGAUACCUAUAUAUCAACUUAAAAUAUUGAUCAACAAAUGAAAGAAAAUUACACUGAAUAUAUUAAUACAGAAAUACUUACCAUUUUAUCAAAUCGUAUCAAUGAUAUUAUGUACAGCCGUAUGUUUCUAAUGUUUCCUGUUGAAAAGAUUUCAGUAUCAGAAUAUAUUGAGUUCUGUUCA